GCUUCGGUCGUCUAGAGGUUAGGACAUGCGGCUUUCUCCCGCAGAACCAGGGUUCGAUCCCCUGUCGGAGUA
rnacentral:tRNA from 1 species